rnacentral:rRNA from 1 species
CAGCCGCCACGGUAAUACAGAGGGUGCAAGCGUUAAUCGGAUUUACUGGGCGUAAAGGGCGCGUAGGUGGUUAUUUAAGUGAGAUGUGAAAGCCCCGGGCUUAACCUGGGAACUGCAUCUUAUACUGGGUAACUGGAGUGCAGUAGAGGGUAGUGGAAUUUCCGGUGUAGCGGUGAAAUGCGUAGAUAUCGGAAGGAACACCAGUGGCGAAGGCGGCUACCUGGACUGAGACUGACACUGAGGCGCGAGAGCGUGGGGAGCAAACAGGAUUAGAUACCCCAGUAGUCCCUGUCUCUUAUAC